GCAGGACGAUUGCCUGCAAGACAGGGCCUGGAGAAGGCCAGGGCACCCAAGGCCACAGAAAUGCCCAGGGAUGAGUCCCGGCUGGAGAUGCCUUGGCUGAACUCACUGUGUACUUCCAGGGUGCACAGGGCAGUGUCUUCUUGGUACUACACAUGAAGAUGUCCUGCUCUCCCCUUCUCAAGGAGAGAGUGCCUGACCUGAGCUGGGCCCAUCAGAUCCAGUACUUACCCGGAAUAGGAAAAAGAUGGAGAGGGUGACCAAAGAUUACAAAAAUCUCUGAAGCUUAUCCACUUGAGAGAGAGUCCCUGAAGAUACUGGCCUUUCAUUUCCUGCUAUGUAUAUCCAGUGUGACUGAACUCUGAAUAACAUAUACAAGUUAUAAUAAUGUAGUAGUUGGCCCUCAAACUAGGACACAAACAUGUUAGAGGGAUUUGAGUUUGAUGUCAUGCAUGCAAUGUGAUCCCACUGUGUGACUACAGAAAUGUUGGCAAAAGUAAGUUCAGAGGAAAUGGUAGGCAAGUACUUCCCAGUUUUGGCCAGAAGAUGGAGAAAAAAAGAAUUCUCAUAAAAUAUUAAAAGUAUCUACGGAGAAAUAGACAAGUGAUGCACGACAGAUACAUGUGUCAGUCUGGUCUCUGCAGUUGUAUUUGUAAUAAUACACAUUGGAACAAUGUCAUGGCCAUCGGUUAGAGAAUGUUUGAAGAAUGACCCAUUCAUAUCAGGAAGGACGUUUCA
ensembl:lncRNA novel transcript